UCCCUCUCAGGAUUGCACCUGGAGAGUUUCCAGUACUCUACCAGUCUCGGCUCUGGGAGGAGGAAUCAAGCAGAGGGCUACCCAUUCCAUUCCUGGCUUGACCAGUGACUAGCAACUGGAAGGCAAUCUGCUACAAGU